CUGAGGCCCCGCUGGAGUCAUGCCACUGCAGCCUUGUCCAGGGCCGCUCCUAGACACGGCACACUGAGGCUCUGGGAGAGGGGGGAGGCAGGGGUCUCGUAAAGUGGCAGGGCACUGGUUCUGACUUCAAGUGAAGCCCCAGCAUGAAGCCAGCCUAUAGAGGACUGGUUCCCUUUUCCCAGAGCUCCAUGAUUGUUGCAACAUCACCGAGCACAGGGCCAGCUGGAACAUCUCUUGGGAACAGCACUUGCUUGUCACUGCCUUCAGAGACUAAUAACAACUCUGCAUCUUCCCAGGAUCACACAACAACAGCACUUGACAAUCCAGACAACCAGGUAAUUGAUGAAAAUUUUAAAUAUCUGGGAUGAAGAACUGAUCUCUGCGGAACCCCACAAGAAACAUACCUGCUUGAUGAUGAUUUCUCCUUUACAAUUACAUUUUGAGACCAAUCGGUUAGAAAGUUUUGAAUCCAUUUAAUGUGUACCAUGCUAAUUUUGUAUUGCUCUAGUUUAUUCAUCAAAAUAUUGUGUAGUACCAAGUGAAAUGCCUUUAUCAACCAAACUUGUAAUCUCAUAAAAAAAGAUAUCAAUAGUGGCACAACAUUAGCUUUCCUUCAGUCCUCUGGAACUUCUCCAGGGUUCCAAGACUUACUGGAAAUCAACAUUAAUAGUACAGAAAGCUCCUCUGUUAGCUCUUUUAAAACUCUUGAAUAAAAGGUAUCCGAACCUGCUGAUUUAAAAAUGACCAUCUUUAGUAGCUGCUGUUCCACACCUUCCAUAAUUACCAAUGAAUAGAAAGUGUUAUCAUAUGAUACUAAUAUGUCAUCUGUUUUUUUCACCAAGCACUUCUGCAUUAUUAUUGACAAUUCCAUGAUAUUCAUCUAGUAAGGAACCAAUACCAUUGUUAAGAUACCUUUUGUUCCUAAAUAUACUUGAAAAACUCCUCCUUAUUGUCCUUAACUCUUCUGGUCAGAGAUUUCUCUUUGUGUUGUUUUGCCUCCCAUAACAAUUUUAUACAAUUUGUAGCGUCUGAUUUAUAUUUAUACUACCAACUUUCCCUUUCUUCCAUUUGUUAUACGUUGUUUUGUUUUUACAGUUGCCUUCAC